rnacentral:rRNA from 1 species
UUUCUUAAGUGUAAAAAGCUUUUGGAAUAAGAGCUGGGCAAGACCGGUGCCAGCCGCCGCGGUAACACCGGCAGCUCUAGUGGUAGCUGUUUUUAUUGGGCCUAAAGCGUUCGUAGCCGGUUUGAUAAGUCACUGGUGAAAUCCUGUAGCUUAACUGUGGGAAUUGCUGGUGAUACUGUUGAACUUGAGGUCGGGAGAGGUUAGCGGUACUCCCAGGGUAGAGGUGAAAUUCUGUAAUCCUGGGAGGACCACCUGUGGCGAAGGCGGCUAACUGGAACGAACCUGACGGUGAGGGACGAAAGCUAGGGGCGCGAACCGGAUUAGAUACCCGGGUAGUCCUAGCCGUAAACGAUGCGGACUUGGUGUUGGGAUGGCUUUGAGCCGCUCCGGUGCCGAAGGGAAGCUGUUAAGUCCGCCGCCUGGGAAGUACGGUCGCAAGACUGAAACUUAA